rnacentral:sRNA from 1 species
GGUUAUUGUGUGGUGGUGUUUACAACUAAUUCAUCACAACUAGUUACAGAUUUCUUUAUUCCUUCUCCACUCCCAAUGACUAGCCUUAA